ensembl:snRNA U6 U6 spliceosomal RNA
AUUCUCACUUCAGUAGCAUAUAUACUAAAAUUGGAAUGAUACAGAUAUUAGCAUGGCCCCUGCACAGGGAUGACAUGCAAAUUCAUGAAGCAUUCCAUUAAAAA